rnacentral:lncRNA from 1 species
UUUUUGAUCCAGCAGUCAAAUCACAGGUCCCAGUAGUCCCAGCUCCACAGUUACCUUCACCUCAGCUUUCAUAAAAUGUCAUGUGCUGUCUGGGUUUGCAAUGCCAUAUUGCCUUAGACCCAUCUCCCAUACAGAUACGUCAUAUAUUCGUCAUGACUCAGGUUUCCCUUGUUUUCUUCAAGAUCAAGAUGAAUGACAGAUGUCAGAAAACUAACCUUUGAAAAAAUAAUUAAAAAUGCCUUUUUUUUUUUUUUUGUUCUUGCAGUCCAUCUAAUUUAUAUAUUCUGAUUUAGGCAGCAGGUUUACAUGUGCUAUAAUACAUUUCAAUGCUUUUUUAAAUUGGCUUAAUACAUUAUUUUCAUCACCUCUUCACUGGUAGCAUCAAAAGGCUACCAUGUUACCAGAACUCAAUUUUGAAAACAUAUCACAAUGUUUGGAAUUAACAUAUUUUAACCUCAUAAAUUUUAUAGCAGAAUGCUUUAUGAUUAAACACCCACUUUAAUCUAACAUAUUACGAGUGUUGUUGCUUUUAUUAGACCAUUAGAAAAUAUUAACCUAUCACAUAUACUAUCCCAUACUAUUCUUUCCCCUCUUUUGCAAAUAACAACACUCUUAAUUAGCUAGGCUUCUCUGAAAUUUAAUUUUGGCUCACAUAAGUACCAGAUCUUAAUAUAGACAAGAAUUUUCAUUCUGUAAUUGUUAGGUUUAUAGAUGUCUACUGUAACAUAAAACACAGGAUGAUCUCUCUCUCCCUUCCCAGAUGACAGUCUGAAACUUGGUAAUUUUUCAUGUUUGCUAUCUAGAUCAGUGAAGGACUGGACUCCAUAUGUUACAUGAUAACUGCCAACAUAAUGUCAAAGAUCAUAAUGAAUAACCAAAACUAAGUUUCUCCCUUGUUUGCACACUCACUAAAAUUGGUUAAGUGAACCACAGUAUUUUUAAGAAGGACCCUCAGGUGGUUUGAACUUUGGAGUGCAUCUGUCUUCUUUCUUUUUACUUAAGCUUCCAAAAAUACCAUGUGUAAGGUUUUAUUAGAACAGAGAGUAAAGGAGAAAAUGUUAUUUUGUUUGGUUAUAUGUCUCUGUAGUAAAAUAAAUGGAAAAUGAUGUGGAAUAGGAUAAAAACU